GUGAAUUGUCGUCCCUUGCAAUCGAUCAGUGGGUUGUUGGCCGCUGCUAGAUUUCCGCUAUCGCUCGACGGAAGUACUGGAUUGCUGUUGGAUUUUUUUGUUCAACUUGGAGAAAUCAAGGACUCGAGUUGGUAUUGUCAUUAUAUUUUAUUCAUUAUAAUUUGAUUACAUCAAAUGACAGAAAGGGAUACUUCUUCCACUUCCUUUGUUGAUGAUAUUAGCGUUUCUUUGGUUUCUGACAUCUACAAAUGAUGUCACAUUUCAUUCGGUACUCCUCUUGAGAAGGGAGACACUUAUUUGUUCUGAAAAGAACAAAUGGAGAAUCUUUUCAGAAUACAUCGGGUUUCAGACAUUGUACGCUCAAAUCAAGUUAUUCCAUCGGAAAAGAAUAAUGGAUAACCGAAUCUUGAUCACCAAAGUUGGUUACAAAAAAAUUGGAUCGUUCUUGGCUGGAUUCAGUCUUCAGUUUUUUUUUUGAUAAUAUAGAGCUUUCAAUCUCCGGAUUCAGUCUUCAGUUGCUCCUCUGAUGUUUUCGUUGGUGAUGGAUCAUUUGUAAAGAGAAAAUCAAAUAGCAUGGAUCGUUGGUGAUGGAUCAUUUCGUCGACGUAGCAGGAAGACAAUCAUGGACAUUGAUGUGCAUUAAUUUCAUGACGUAGCCGAAAGACAAUGCAUCUAUAGCUUGAGAAUUUGGCAAGCUUGCCGCCACCGAAAGAUGGGUUCAACCGCCCUUCUGGGUUAUAGCCUUAUAGGUGAUGGAUUUCCGUCACCGAAAAAUGGGUUCAACUGCCUUUUUUGGUUAUUGGUGGCAGAUUUCCGCCACAGAAAGAUGGUUUCAACCGCCCUUCUGGGUUAUUGGUGACGGAUUUUCGCCAUCGAAAGAUUGGUUCAG
rnacentral:lncRNA from 1 species